rnacentral:rRNA from 1 species
ACUCCUACGGGAGGCAGCAGUGGGGAAUAUUGCACAAUGGGGCGCAAGCCUGAUGCAGCCAUGCCGCGUGUAUGAAGAAGGCCUUCGGGUUGUAAAGUACUUUCAGCAGUGAGGAAGGUGGAUAUGUUAAUAGCAUAUUCAUUUGACGUUAGCUGCAGAAGAAGCACCGGCUAACUCCGUGCCAGCAGCCGCGGUAAUACGGAGGUGCGAGCGUUAAUCGGAAUUACUGGGCGUAAAGCGCAUGCAGGUGGUUUGUUAAGUCAGAUGUGAAAGCCCGGGGCUCAACCUCGGAAUUGCAUUUGAAACUGGCAAACUAGAGUACUGUAGAGGGGGGUAGAAUUUCAGGUGUAGCGGUGAAAUGCGUAGAGAUCUAGAAGGAAUACCGGUGGCGAAAGGCGGCCCCCUGGACAGAUACUGACACUCAGAUAGCGAAAGCGUGGGGAGCAAACAGGAUUAGAUACCCUGGUAGACGUAG